AUGCAACUAAUAUUGUGGCCUCUACACAUAUAUUUACCCCUUUUAUGUUUAAAAGUGAUGAAUUGUUGUGGUUGUGGCAUCUGCUAUCUCAUUAAGAGCAGCUACGCACAUAUGACAUAUCACCUCUCGUGGUGUUUGGUUUGCCUUCUCAUGAUUUUGUUGUCCAUGGUGGGAACCAGUUUGGUGCAUUCAGACUUUUUCUUUUUCUGUUUUUACUUUUCCUUGAAUGGAUGUGAUCAUUCUGCUGUCCCUUGGAUAGUUUAUUUUAGGUUAUUUUAUCGGGUUUGGGUCAGUUUGCUUGUUUCAAUUGUUGUUUUACUUUUUAUAAUAUCUUCUACUAUACUAUUUAUCUACUUAUCAGUUUGUACUUUUGGUUACUCCCCACUUCUUUACUGGUUUCAACUUAUGGGUCAUAUAGGGAAAGUUCAGAUGUCAAGAUAA
rnacentral:rRNA from 1 species